CCCUGGUUAGCUCAGUUGGUAGAGCGCUGCACUUGUAAUGGAGAGCUCCCGGGCUCGAUACCCGGGCCAGGCA
rnacentral:tRNA from 1 species